GACGAACGCUGGCGGCGUGCUUAACACAUGCAAGUCGAACGGAAAGGCCCUGCUUUUGUGGGGUGCUCGAGUGGCGAACGGGUGAGUAACACGUGAGUAACCUGCCCUUGACUUUGGGAUAACUUCAGGAAACUGGGGCUAAUACCGGAUAGGAGCUCCUGCUGCAUGGUGGGGGUUGGAAAGUUUCGGCGGUUGGGGAUGGACUCGCGGCUUAUCAGCUUGUUGGUGGGGUAGUGGCUUACCAAGGCUUUGACGGGUAGCCGGCCUGAGAGGGUGACCGGCGUGGGUGGGAUGGAGUACCGGGCCAGACGGCUGCGGGAGGCAGCAGGGGGGAAUAUGGAACCGGGGACGGAGGGUGGCGGCAGCGGGGCCGCGUGUGGCCUGGGGGCCUGCGGGUUAUAACCCGGUUUCGCCUGUGGAGAAGCGGGAGGGUCGGUAAGAGGGAAAGAAGCACCGGCUAAAUCCGUGCGAGCGGUAGGGGGAAUAGAUGAAGAGCACACGUCAGACC
rnacentral:rRNA from 1 species